rnacentral:rRNA from 1 species
GAUGAACGCUGGCGGCGUGCUUAACACAUGCAAGUCGAACGGUGAAGCAGGAGCUUGCUCCUGUGGAUCAGUGGCGAACGGGUGAGUAACACGUGAGCAAUCUGCCCUGGACUCUGGGAUAAGCGUUGGAAACGACGUCUAAUACCGGAUACGAGGCGCGGGGGCAUCCCCAGCGCCUGGAAAGAACUUCGGUCCAGGAUGAGCUCGCGGCCUAUCAGGUAGUUGGUGAGGUAACGGCUCACCAAGCCUACGACGGGUAGCGGGCCUGAGAGGCUGACCGGCCACAGUGGGACUGAGACACGGCCCAGACACCUACGGGAGGCAGCAGUGGGGAAUAUUCCACAAUGGACGAAAGUCUGAUGCAGCGACGCCGCGUGAGGGACGACGGCCUUCGGGUAGUAAACCACUUUUGACAGGGAAGAAGCGAAAGUGACGGUACCUGCAGAAAAAGCACCGGCUAACUACGUGCCAGCCGCCGCUGUAACAC